CGAGGCGGGCAAAGUCGCGCCGCAGGGUGAAUUCUUCCAGGAGGGGCAGCGAACGCUGGGCGACCGCCGCCUGAGUGCCUUCCCCGACGUGACAGCACCGGCGACGCUCGUCGACUCUAUCGGCCUCCACCCUAAACGAUGGUCGAAAUUAAAUCUACGACACCUGCCGGUCCCUGGUCUAUUUCAGGGUCGAGCCGGGCUGCAGAGUGGCGGAGGCACGUGGGACGGCCCCUUGACAACUGACGCCUCUGCAGAAGUGAAGCCGGGGGUUCGGGUGUGAGAAGAGGCCCACCUAGGAAAGCGAGCAAGAGGGGAGGGCUGGCUACCGCCGCUUCCCGCCAGCGCCUCGAAAUACGAAACACACAGCCUCAAUGUUAUGCAGGAACUGAACGCCGCCCGAUUCGUUAAAUCGGUGAGCGCACAGGUCAUCGAGGGCGGUGGCGAGCUAGAAGGAGGAUUCCUGUGACUUGUGCAGAGGAACAAGAGCCCGAGUGGACCUUUUGGUUCCGGGGCAACCCACAGGCACAUUCUUCUGAAACCGCUUUAUUUGAAGUCGUUCCAGAGCUUUAUCUCCCCUGAAUGUUUGGGCUUGGAGUAAAACUGUUCACUUGAGCAUUGCCUGUUGGGUUUGAUCAGUCCUAAGAGCCUUCUGGAAAGGCCCAGAAAGCCAGAAGGUGAAGCCAGGAGUGAGUGGUACGUGCGUCCUAUAGAUCGCUUCUAAUCCGCCUUCCUCCCUUCGCAGGGGGGG